rnacentral:rRNA from 1 species
GUGGGGAAUUUUGCACAAUGGGCGAAAGCCUGAUGCAGCAACGCCGCGUGAGUGAAGAAGGCCCUUGGGUCGUAAAGCUCUUUCGGCUGGGGAGAAGGCUAUUAAGGUGAACAAUCUUAGUAGCUGACGGUACCAGAAUAAGAAGCACCGGCUAACUCCGUGCCAGCAGCCGCGGUAAUACGGAGGGUGCGAGCGUUGUUCGGAAUUACUGGGCGUAAAGCGCACGUAGGCGGGUUUUUAAGUCGAUUGUGAAAGCCCAGGGCUCAACCUUGGAAUUGCAGUCGAAACUGGAAGUCUUGAAUACCUGAGGGGAUAGUGGAAUUCCCGGUGUAGAAGUGAAAUUCGUAGAUAUCGGGAGGAACACCAGUGGCGAAGGCGGCUAUCUGGCAGUGUAUUGACGCUAAGGUGCGAAAGCGUGGGGAUCAAACAGGAUUAGAAACCCGGGUAGUCC